UUAAUGUCCCAAUUAAAAAUUUCAAGAUCUUUGACCACAUAUAUUUUGUGUCAGAAACCUAUAUUAUGUCAAAAAUUUGAUCCCAAUCUAAAUUCAGACAGUAUCAAGUUUGAAUAUUGUGUCAAAACUUGCCCUUACUGUUCACAAUAAUUAUAUGAUACCAAAUGUAGAUGUCAUCAGGAGCUAUACUAAUUAUACGAUAACCUAAACUAGAGCCU
rnacentral:lncRNA from 1 species